rnacentral:rRNA from 1 species
GUCUACGGCCACACCGCCCUGAACGCGCCCGAUCCCGUCUGACCUCGGAAGCUAAGCAGGGUCGGGCCCGGUCAGUACCCGGAUGGGAGACUUAUGGUAGCAAAGGGCUGUUUUAUCUA